CACGUAGGGUGCGAGCGUUAAUCGGAAUUACUGGCGUAAAGCGUGCGCAGGCGGCACUAUAAGACAGAUGUGAAAUCCCCGGGCUUAACCUGGGAACUGCGUUUGUGACUGUAGGGCUUGAGUGCGGCAGAGGGGGGUGGAAUUCCGCGUGUAGCAGUGAAAUGCGUAGAGAUGUGGAGGAACACCGAUGGCGAAGGCAGCCCCCUGGGUCGACACUGACGCUCAUGCACGAAAGCGUGGGGAGCAAACA
rnacentral:rRNA from 1 species